rnacentral:lncRNA from 12 species
CGGGCACUGAGGGGGGCACUUGAUGGGUUGAGCACUGGGUGUUAUUCUAUAUGUUGGUAAAUUGAACACCAAUAAAAAAUAAAUUAAAAAAAUAAAUAAAAAUUUGAAAUGCAUUCUCAAAAAAAAAAAAGAGAGAAGGAAGAUGGUCAUUGGGAUGAUGUAAAAAGGAAAUAAGGAAGAAAAGAAUAAGGAAAUAAGGAAGAGAAGUUAUCAGCUCUGACAGUGGUUUAUGAUUAUAUUUUGAUCCGAGUGAAGAUCUCUUUCCUCCUCUUCUCCUUUCCAUCUUGUGUCUUUCUUCCCUCUGCUCCCAUCUUCCUCCUUGUCAUCCUCACCCUCUGUUCCUUCCUUCUCUUUUUCUUCCUUUGUGUUAACAGUAUGGCUUCAGGCACAUCAGCCCUUGGCAUUGCUCCCAGUGGGAAGACUGCCCUGUUUCAGGCUGGAUCUGCUGCAGGUCACUUAACCAUUCUGCACCG